GGGAGCCCGGUGAGCUGAGAGGCUCCCGCCGGGUUCUGCGAGCGGCGGGGGGUGAAAUUCCCCCCGCCGACUCUCC
rnacentral:ncRNA from 1 species